GUAUCCUCAGUCUCUCAGGUUACUUUCCCAUUCCCUCUAUUGCUUCCCUUAUUUUCAAUUGUGUGCCUAUUUGAAGCUGCUGUAUUUAACACUUUAUUAUGAAUUGUUUGCUGCCGUGAGAAUAUAAGAAUGUGAUUGGGAGGCCCUGUAUGCAUUGUCAUCAUCCUACAAAUGCUGUCCCUCUAAGUGACUGCCUGGAUCAUUUGUGUGGUCAGGCCAGGACCAUGGCAAGCAUCUCAUCUGGCUGUCAAGAAGGAUAACUAACCACUGGAGGGUUUUGAGAAGAGCCUUAAUAUGGCCAAGGCAGCUGGAAAGGAUAUUGAUGCUUGAAGACUGCUCCUUGUGAAGACUCCUUUUCCUUGACAGAAUAAUAAGCAAACAAGUCUUAGCCUGCUGCCUGUAGGGAAAUGGGUUUUGUUAUGGAAGGAGAGCGCCCUGCGCUAAAACAACAAACAGAAGAAUGGCUGUGUUUGUUUUUCCAUGUGCUGGAGGUGAGGGUGCAGCCACCACAGGCCUGCCUUCAUAUCCUCUCCAACUGACAGAGGAGGGUGAGGCAGAGACAUAUACAAACAGAAAGACUUUCCUGAGGUAAUUUAAUGGAGGAUGAUAUCCCUUAAUCCUUCCUAUAUAGAUGGCCUGACCCAGCCCGUAUAGAAACUAACAAUGUAUACAUGAACUCUGACACAGAUGUUCCUCCACGCUUACAAACCUAAUUCACAGGCUUGUUUCCUCACCAAGCCUGAGUACCUGAUUUAAUUAUUGCACAAAAUACUCGCUCAUGAUAUACCUGGCUCACACCCAAGAUAAGCCACUAACGUGUAUCUUCUUUGAUGGUCAAAAGCACGUUCAUUAUAAUAACUAUGCAAAUAUGCAUUUCAGACCAUGCACCACUUUUGUUUA